UACAGAGGGGGCUAGCGUUGUUCGGAAUUACUGGGCGUAAAGGGCGCGUAGGCGGCCUGUUAAGUCGAACGUGAAAUCCCCGGGCUCAACCCGGGAACUGCGUCCGAUACUGGCAGGCUUGAAUCCGGGAGAGGGAUGCGGAAUUCCAGGUGUAGCGGUGAAAUGCGUAGAUAUCUGGAGGAACACCGGUGGCGAAGGCGGCAUCCUGGACCGACACUGACGCUGAGGAGCGAAAGCCAGGGGAGCAAACGGG
rnacentral:rRNA from 1 species